CACACCCUCAAACCAAAUCUUUAUUACGUACCUAGCAAAUUAAGCCAACUGCAAUGAAAGCUGUUUACUUCCUCAUAAGCACUCUUGCCAUAUUGGCAUCUGCAACCUUCCUUGUCUCUGCCUCUGACCCCAGUCCUCUUCAGGACUUCUGUGUAGCACUGAAUGACACCAAAUCUGCUGGUAUGCAUGAAUAUAUACUUGUGUUAAUUAUUUAUAUUCUGCCCUGCAAUUAUUCCCACAUGAAUUAUUUUCAUUAGAUAUUAGUUUUAUGAAGAUCGUUUUUCUGUUAACUAUAGCUUCUUCUCAUGCAUGAAAAAUCUAUUAGUACGUAAUUUUACAUAUGAAUAAUGCUAUUUGUACUGCAUUUACCGGGCAUCUUAGUGAUCAUCUCUCUGAGAUACAUUAAAGUGGUUUCCACUUACGUACGUGGAUUUUACCUCCGAAUAGUUCUAACACUAAAGUUUAAUAUAAAUUUUUUUUGGGUUGUAGAAGCAGUGUUUGUGAAUGGGAAGUUCUGUAAGGACCCAAAGCUUGCCAAUGCAAAUGAUUUCUUCUUUUCUGGCCUCCAAAAUCCAAGAAACACACAAAAUCCGCUUGGUUCAAAUGUGACAGCCGUGAAUGUGGACAACCUACUAGGACUGAACACUCUCGGCAUAUCCUUGGCUCGCAUAGACUUUGCACCAAAUGGCCUAAACCCUCCUCACACUCACCCUCGUGCCACUGAAAUCCUUGUGGUCUUGGAAGGAACACUCUAUGUUGGUUUCGUCACAUCCAACGGUGAUGGCAAUCGCCUAUUCACCAAAGUGUUGAACAAGGGAGAUGUGUUUGUGUUCCCAAUUGGCCUCAUUCACUUCCAACUCAAUGUGGGACACGUCAACGCUGUAGCCUUUGCUGGGCUUAGCAGCCAGAACCCAGGAGUGAUCACCAUAGCCAAAGCAGUGUUUGGCUCCCAGCCUCCCAUCAACCCUGAUGUUCUAGCCAAGGCCUUCCAAGUGGACGACAAUGUGGUUGACAAUCUUCAGAAACAGUUCUGGUACGACAACAAUUAGUAAAAUACAACAAAUAAUUAUAAGGCCAAGGAAAGAACAACCAAUCGAUGUGCUUGGUUGGAUGUAUUAAGUUGGCCAAUAUGUUUUUCACUACGUACCUACAAUAAAUUACUAUGAUGUAAUAUUAAUUGAAUAAGAUUGUUGGAUACUUACCCUCUGGGUUUUGAAAUAACAUAAUUUCAUACUUUAGUUUUGAAAUAACAUUAUGCAUUAAUUCAACAAAGUUAUUAUGACAGCUUAAUAAUACUAAAAUGGAGGAGCCUUGCCAUUUUAACAUUGAUAAAUUUGGCCCAUGCUCUAGGGCAAAUCAAGUAGAAAUUUCUCUCUCUCGAGGACAGCUAUUUGCGUGCAAUUAGUGCAGACAUUAAAUUCAACCGUUGGAUCGAUUUUAAAAGGUUACAUGUGUUAGAAUUCAAAGCUUCUAGUAAUUAGUUUUGAAUAUUUUGGAUGUUUGGGAGGAAGGAAGAAAUCACAGAGAGAGAAUGAAGAAGAGAACGUUGCUCUGAAUAGAAAAAUGGAGAUUACUUUUCAUUUCUACUCCACUAGCCAAUAUAUCGUCAGGAAAGAGAGAGAAGUGAGAUGCUUCUCUAACAGAUUUACAUCAAGAUUGAAUCCUUGCCAUUGCUCCUAUCAUCCUAUGAGAUGCUCACAUUUGUCACAAGCUAUCACUUAAAUCCUAGGCUAGAAACAGAGUCCACUUGGACUAUGAUCCAAUGGCUCACAUUACAAACAUAAAUUAAAACAUAUAAAAUGAAAUUCAAAAAACUUUGUGACUUUGGCUCCAAGGUUUUCAGCUCAAGGGUUACACAUCAACAACAUGUAGAAUCUGGUAAAAGAAAACACAAAUAAACCUAACUGAGACCCAGUGACCCACACAAUCAUCUUCUCUUUCCUCUUUCUCUGCCUUCUUCUAUUUUCCUCUCCUUCUCCUAUCCUCUCUCUUUGGGCAUUCAAAUUGAAAAAUUGAGCUUAAUCGAGCAGAAAAAAAUCGAAAUAACCAAAAAUCAGACCGAGUUAACCAAAAACUGAACUAGACCGGUUUGGUCCGAUUUCAAUUCCAGUAUCUUGUAGUGAAAAAAGGGACCGGGCGAACCGAACAGAUUGUGGUGAAUUUCAGACAACGGUUUUUUUUUUUUUUUUUUUCAUCUUCUCAUAAUCUUCAUAUCUGUUUCACAUUUUCUUCUCCCUUCUCAUCUCUCUCUACUUUCUCACUUUGAAAAUUCAAUAAUCUACGACCGUAACAACUCGGGUUAUUAAAAAUAUAUAUAUAUAUAUAUAUAUAUAUAUUCGACUUACUAAUUUCCAUAAAAAUUAAAUGACACAUUUGUGUGUUUGAAAUAUUACUGGAGGGACUGUUUAAGAGCUACUCAGUCAUGUUGGUAAACAUCAUUUGAAGUUAAGCAGCAUCAGAUUGAAUUCAGGUGUGCCUGCCAAUUAUCUGAAUAACAUCUGUGUUUUAGGAUCAAAAAGAAAACAUAACAAGAAAAAAAAAAAAAAAAAAACACCACCAGCUAACCCCAACGGGAAAAUAAUCAGGAGCAGCGGCUGCUUUGAGCAAGACCAGUUUUUUUUUUAAUCGGUGGACUGACUGUAAAAUUUUAUAUCGAGGCAAAUUGUCACCAUCAAUGUUAAUAUAUAAGGAAACGAAUUUCAUUCUCUUUGUAGAAUGAAUCCAUAUAUAGCAUAAGCAUUGAACAUUUCCAUUGGUUAAAUACCACCUAAUUAAAAAAAAUAAAUAAUUAUCUCCUAACUACUCUUUUUUUUGGUACAACUCCUAAUACCUGGUCUUUCAUCAUCAUAAUUAUAUGAAUAUAUUCUCCCUCAACUGACCUUGUCUUAUAAUUAAACAACCCUAAUAACCCUUUACAAAAGGUAACUUAUUUUAUUGAAACACCAAACAGUAGAGCUGAGUCAAAGUUCUUCAAAAUUCUAUCACAACUGAAUUUUCUUUUUCUAGUGCUAAAAUAUAUGUAGGAAAUUUAUUGUUCAAUAGUUAAACUUAAAGGUGAGAUUUUGUCAAAUACCAAGUCUUGACUUGCCUCUAAAUACCCCUAUCUCAAGGGUAAGAAAAUGACCAAAAUACCCCUAUCUCAAGGGUAAAUUUGUAAUUUCCCUUAAAUAAUGUAAAUAACUUAAAUAAAUGGUUAAAUUUGGAGUCGGGGUGUUACAUAAAUACCACCUAAUUAAAAAAAAAAAUAUAAUUAUCUCCUAACUACUCUUUCUUUUUGGUACAAUUCCUUGCAAUGUUAUCGAAUCGGUUUCCUGUAAUUUUGUUACAAUGGAGAACCCUCCUGCUUCUAAUGGUGAUGAGACCCUGUCAAUUAUGGAUUGCUUUGCAGAAGAAAGCAAGUUUCUUGUGAAUGAUAAUGGCAAAAAUGAGUCUCUAGGCAACAUUGCCAACAUCCAAAUAUAAUUUGCAUUGUUUAUCAGAUUAUCUCUAUCAUCAUAGACUUAUAUAUAUGUGAAAAUGCCCUCCAUUUUCCAGGUUGUGCCAGCACAGGUUUUGUUCACUGGUUAGCUAAAAUAUUGUACUUAAAUUCGUUUUAAUCAUAUGUGGGCUUGCUUAGGAGACUUUCAUGGGGGCCCAAACCUAGCUUCAAAGGAUGGCUCAAGCCCAGAAUAUUUUUUUGAUAUUUUUCCCGAAAAGAUAUAAAGCAGGCUUUAUGAUGUUCCUUGGCCCUCAAACACCAAAGCAUACUAGGAGUUGGUAAGGAGGCAACAACCCACCUCUGCAAGCACAACAUGUCAACUAUAUUGGCUGCACAUAAGUAGAGCACAUACUUUUUGGUCGUCCAUUAGAGUUGUUGAAAUAUCAAGAAGAUACAAGAGCACUUCUCCUCAUUCUAAUCCCUCACACACUCAUUUUAGAUGGGGUGAAUACUUUAGUGUAAGUUACAUUGAUCGGUUGAGCAUGAACACUUGUAUUCAUAUGCAUUUGUUUAAGAGUUUUUCCCAUCAAGAAACUCUCUAACAAUCCUUAUUAUAUUAGGUUAGGUUAAGUUAUUUCAAUCCAUAUAGAAUAGGGAAGUAUCACAAGCCUUGUUUAACUUGUACUACACGUCUGCAAGGCUAUCUGAUUGGCUAUUAGUUAAUUUCUUCUGCGUACUUUUAUCAGUUACCACAUGUGCUGAUGUGUUUGCCAUUUUCAUCUUGGCUUUUUCCAGUCAUAAGUAUGCCGAUUUUUUAUUUGGUUAUGUGAAUCUUGCAAUGCCUUUGGUGUUUAUUUGACUAAGAAGUCUUUUUUUUCCUAUUUGUGUUAUCAUUUUAAAACACUCUCUGUGCAUGUGUUGUAGCUUGCCAAUACAUAUUUGCAAAUGCUGUAACUAAUUAGUGCCUUUAUGCUAUCGGAUGCUUCUUUCAGAUAUGUUUGGUUCUUGUCACUGUUUCCUUUACCAUAGCUGGAGAGUAAAGAAAAACCCUGCUUUAUUUUGCUAGUAGUAAUUGUAUUCUAUUAUCCUCUGCUGAUGAGGAUUUUCUUUCUCUUCCUGCUUUCUUGAUAAUGCUCUCUUGUUUUUCCAAUGAGCAAUGAUAUGUUACUGCUUAUAGUAAUAUCUGACUCUUCUCAACUACAGAAUGUCAUUGCUUGAAGCAUGAGUUUUGAACUAGAUGGUGUAACUUCCAUACUGUUAAUACAUUUUAAUUUUUCUUACAUACAUCUGUAUCUGUUGGCUUCCCUAAGUGUAAUGUGUGCAUAUUAUCCUGCAGGAACUUAAUAAUCUCGAACAUUUGGGCAAUGCUACACCUCAUUUCAAUACAAGCAACAUAUAUAAAGGUCUAGGAGACUUGGAAAACUUGGGUAGAGUUGGUGAAGUUGGAUAUAAUUUUUGCAGUGAGCCUGAUUCUAGGAGCCAUUUUCUGGAGCUAUAUGAUCUCGACCAACCUCAGCAUCCUAAUCUCUUCUUUUAGUUAUGUAAUUUUUAUGGCAAGUUUACUUUGCAUUGAUGGUUACCGAUUCCGGAUUUUAUUUUGAUUUCAACUAUAUUAUCCAAUCAUGUAUCCCUUUAUGUUUCUUAGCUUGUAUUACCUUUGCUGCUUUUGGGCUGUUUAAUGAAUUAUUCACUAUUGACCAAAGGAAAAUUCUAGAAGUUUAAAUUUUACCCUGAGCAUUUCCAGAAACACUACUUUUUUUUUGGGUUGCUAAUUCUUAGUUAAAAUGGCUAGAAAGUUAUUUUGAAUGAAAUAAAAAGAGGGAAGGAUUUUGGCGGAGUUAAAGUGGAUUUAGCAUUUCCAGAAAGACUUACUGUUUUCCAUAAAAAGUAAAUGACAGAUUUGUCUCUCAACCACGUAAAAAGUCCCCAACCAAUUCAAGAAAUAUUACUUGCAAAGGGACUCAGUCGAAUUGGUAAACAUCAUUUGAAGUUAAAGCACCAUCAGUCCAGUCGGAUUGAACUGAGGUCUGCCUGCAACUAUCUGAAUAACAACUGUGUUUUAGGACCAAAAUAAGAGCAAAAAAAAAAAAAAGAAAAAAAAAAGAAACACCAGCAGCUAACCCCAAGUGGGAAAACAGAGAGCAAGACCAGUUUCAAACCAGCUAGAAGGUGAAAAAUGAAACAGAAGAAAAAGUCAUGAACUCAAAUUUCGAGGGUGGAAGGACUGUAAAAUUUUAUAUUGAGGCAAAUUGUCACCAUCAAUGUUAAUAGGAGAAUGAGUUUCAUAAUUCAUUCUCUUUGGCAGAAUGAAUCCAUUCCAUAUAUAGCAUAAGCAUUGAUCAUUUCCAUUGGUUAAAUACCACUGGGUUUAAACUUAUAAUAUUAAGUAGAAGAAAAAAAAGAAGCAGCAAUUAAUUUGAAGUAAAAGAUUCAAACCCUAAACUAUAUGGAUCUGGAAGGAAGAAAAUUAAUAUAAAAUUUUGGUCAAUAUAUACCUUCUAGUUAAACUUAAAGGUGAGAUUUUUUCAAACAUCAAGUCUUGACUUGGUUCUAAAUACUAAGUAUAUAUAUAUAUAUAUAUAUAUAUAUAUAUAUAUAUAUAUAUAUUCAAAUCCUUACCUGCUUCGACAUGGAAAAUCAUAUCCAAGAGUACAAGACCAGUUCAUUCUCCCCAGUCUAUAAAUAGGCUUCUAACCCAUGAAGGAUUUUCAUCUCACACCCUCAAACCAAAUCUUUAUUACGUACCUAGCAAAUUAAGCCAACUGCAAUGAAAGGUGUUUAUUUCCUCAUAAGCACUCUUGCCAUAUUGGCAUCUGCAACUUUCCUUGUCUCUGCCUCUGACCCCAGUCCUCUUCAGGACUUCUGUGUAGCACUCAAUGACACCAAAUCUGCUGGUAUGCAUUAAUAUAUACUUGUGUUAAUUAUUUAUAUUCUGCCCUGCAAUUAUUCCCACAUGAAUUAUUUUCAUUAGAUAUUAGUUUUAUGAAGAUCGUUUUUCUGUUAACUAUAGCUUCUUCUCAUGCAUGAAAAAUCUAUUAGUACGUAAUUUUACAUAUGAAUAAUGCUAUUUGCACUGCAUUUACUGGGCAUCUUAAUGAUCAUCUCUCUGAUAUACAUUAAAGUGGUUUCCACUUACGUACGUGGAUUUUACCUCCGAAUAGCUCUAACACUAAAGUUUAAUAUAAAUUUUUUUUGGGUUGUAGAAGCAGUGUUUGUGAAUGGGAAGUUCUGUAAGGACCCAAAGCUUGCCAAUGCAAAUGAUUUCUUCUUUUCUGGCCUCCAAAAUCCAAGAAACACACAAAAUCCGCUUGGUUCAAAUGUGACAGCCGUGAAUGUGGACAACCUACUAGGACUGAACACUCUCGGCAUAUCCUUGGCUCGCAUAGACUUUGCACCAAAUGGCCUAAACCCUCCUCACACUCACCCUCGUGCCACUGAAAUCCUUGUGGUCUUGGAAGGAACACUCUAUGUUGGUUUCGUCACAUCCAACGGUGAUGGCAAUCGCCUAUUCACCAAAGUGUUGAACAAGGGAGAUGUGUUUGUGUUCCCAAUUGGCCUCAUUCACUUCCAACUCAAUGUGGGACACGUCAACGCUGUAGCCUUCGCUGGGCUUAGCAGCCAGAACCCAGGAGUGAUCACCAUAGCCAAAGCAGUGUUUGGCUCCCAGCCUCCCAUCAACCCUGAUGUUCUAGCCAAGGCCUUCCAAGUGGACGACAAUGUGGUUGACAAUCUUCAGAAACAGUUCUGGUACGACAACAAUUAGUAAAAUACAACAAUAAUUAUAUGCGAAAAGCAUAAAAGGCCAAGGAAAGAACAACCAAUCGAUGUGCUUGUUUGGAUGUAUUAAGUUGGCCAAUAUGUUUUUAACUACGUACCUACAAUAAAUUACUAUGAUGUAAUAUUAAUUGAAUAAGAUUGUUGGUUUGCAUUACUUACCCUCUGGGUUUUGAAAUAACAUAAUUUCAUACUGUGGUUUUGAAAUAAAAUUAUGCAUUAAUUCAACAAAGAUAUUAUGACAACUUAAUAAUACUAAAAUGGAGGAGCCUUGCCAUUUUAACAUUGAUAAGUUUGGCCUAUGCUCUAGGGCAAAUCAAGUAGAAAUUUCUCUCUCUCGAGGACAGCUAUUUGCGUGCAAUUAGUGCAGACAUUAAAUUCAACCGUUGGAUCGAUUUUAAAAGGUUACAUGUAGAAUCUGGUAAAAGAAAACACAAAUUCACCUGACUGAGACCCAUUGACCCACACAAUCAUCUUCUCUUUCCUCUUUCUCUGGGCAUUCAAACUGAAAAAUCGAGAUGAAUUGAGCAGAAAAAGAAUCGGAAUAACCAAAAACCAGACUGAGUUAACCAAAAACUGAACUAGACCGGUUUGGUCCGAUUUCAAUUCCAGUAUCUUGUAGUGAAAAAAGGGACCGGGCCGAACCAGACAGAUUGUGGUGGAUUUCAGACAACGUUCUUUUUCUUUUUUUCAUCUUCUCAUAAUCUCCGUAUCUGUUUCACAUUUUCUUCUCCCUUCUCAUCUCUCUCUACUUUCUCACUUUGAAAAUUCUAUAAUCUACAACCAUAAGAACUUACUGAUUUCCAUAAAAAUUAAAUGACACAUUUGUCUGUUUGAAAUAUUACUGAAGGGACUGUUUAAAAGCUACUCAGUCAUGUUGGUAAACAUAAUUUGAAGUUAAGCAGCAUCAGAUUGAAUUCAGGUGUGCCUGCCAAUUAUCUGAAUAACAUCUGUGUUUUAGGACCAAAAAGAAAACAUAACAUGAAAAAAAAAAAAAAAAAAAAAAAAACACCACCAGCUAACCCCAACGGGAAAAUAAUCAGGAGCAGCUGCUGCUUGGAGAAGACCAGUUUUUUUUUCUUUUUUCUAUGAACUGGGGGGUGUAAAACCCCAAGAAAGAGCAACUACUCACUACAGAGACCAACCGAGUCCUAGUGACACCUAGCAAAUCAUGAACAAGGCUAGAGCCAAUCCAACUCGGAGCCAUAUCAAGAAAACAAACACCUAGGUCCAGACUGUAGCUCCGCUGAGCAAUACAAUCAGCAACCACAUUUCUUUCUCUAUAAACAUGCUGAAGAGCCCAGGUGCCAAACUUUCCCAUAAGCUCCCAGCAACUUGAAACCAGAGACACCACAGGAUGUGAACCAAGAGCAGUAGAAUUCUGCAUCAACUUAAUAGCCACAGCAGAAUCCAUUUUAGCAAUACCACUUUCAACCAGCUAGAAGGUGAAAAAAUGAAAAAGAAGAAAAAGUCAUGCACUCAACGUUAAUUGGUGGACUGACUGUAAAAUUUUAUAUCGAGGCAAAUUGUCACCAUCAAUGUUAAUAUAUAAGGAAAUGAAUUUCAUUCUCUUUGUAGAAUGAAUCCAUAUAUAGCAUAAGCAUUGAACAUUUCCAUUGGUUAAAUACCACCUAAUUAAAAUAUAUAUAUAUAUAUAUAUAUAUAAUUAUCUCCUAACUACUCUUUCUUUUUGGUAUAACUCCUAAUACCUGGUCUUUCAUCAUCAUAAUUAUAUGAAUAUAUUCUCCCUCAACUGACCUUGUCUUAUAAUUAAACAACCCUAAUAACCCUUUACAAAAGGUAACUUAUUUUAUUGAAACACCAAACAGUAGAGCUGAGUCAAAGUUCUUCAAAAUUCUAUCACAACUGAAUUUUCUUUUUCUAGUGCUAAAAUAUAUGUAGGAAAUUUAUUGUUCAAUAGUUAAACUUAAAGGUGAGAUUUUGUCAAAUACCAAGUCUUGACUUGCCUCUAAAUACUACAAUAUUCAAAUCUUUACCUGCUUCGACAAGGAAAAUCAUAUCCAAGAGUACAAGACCAGUUCAUUCUCUCCAGUCUAUAAAUAGGCUUCUAACCCAUGAAGGAUUUUCAUCCCACACCCUCAAACCAAAACUCUCUACACACGAAGAAAAAACAGUAAAAGAAAGUUCUGAGGCAACCUAGCUCUAAUUAAGCCAACUGCAAUGAAAGGUGUUCAUUUCCUCAUAAGCACUCUUGCCAUAUUGGCAUCUGCAACCUUCCUUGUCUCUGCCUCUGACCCCAGUCCUCUUCAGGAUUUCUGUGUAGCACUUAAUGACAACAAAUCUGCUGGUAUGCUUUAAUUAUAUUCAUUAUAUUCUGGCAUGCAAUUAUUUCCACAUGAAUAAUUUUCUUCCUAAGGCAUUAGGAAUAUUAUGAAUAUUGUUUUUCUGUUAACUAUUUGCAUUUGCAUGGCUUCUCAUGCAUGAACAAUAUAUAUAUAUAUAUAUAUAUAUAUAUUGUCCCUCACACAUGUAUGUGCUAUUUGUACUAUAUUUACCGACCAUCUUACUAAUCACCUCUCUAACAUAUCAUGUGGGUUCCGUUUUGCUUAGGUGGAUAUUUCGGUGCAAACGCAGUGUUUGUGAAUGGGAAAUUCUGCAAGGACCCAAAGCUUGUCAAUGCAAAUGAUUUCUUCUUUUCUGGCCUCCAAAACCCAAGAAACACACAAAAUCCGCUUGGUUCAAAUGUGACAACUGUGAAUGUGGACCAAAUAGCGGGGUUGAACACUCUCGGCAUAUCCCUGACUCGCAUAGACUUUGCACCAAAUGGCCUAAACCCUCCUCACACUCACCCUCGUGCCUCCGAAUUUCUUGUGGUCUUGGAAGGAACACUCUAUGUUGGUUUCGUCACAUCCAACGGUGAUGGCAAUCGCCUAUUCACCAAAGUGUUGAACAAGGGGGAUGUGUUUGUGUUCCCAAUCGGCCUCAUUCACUUCCAACUCAAUGUGGGACACGUCAACGCUGUAGCCUUCGCUGGGCUUAGCAGCCAGAACCCAGGAGUGAUCACCAUAGCCAAUGCAGUGUUUGGCUCCAAGCCUCCCAUCAACCCUGAUGUUCUAGCCAAGGCCUUCCAAGUGGACGACAAUGUGGUUGACUAUCUUCAGAAACAGUUGUGGUACGACAACAAUUAGUAAAAUACAACAAUAAUCAUAUGCGAAAAAGCAUAAAAGGCCAAGGAAAGAACAACCAAUCGAUGUGCUUGUUUGGAUGUAUUAAGUUGGCCAAUAUGUUUUUUCACUACGUACCUACAACAAAUUACUAUGAUGUAAUAUUAAUUGAAUAAGAUUGAAAUAACAUAAUUUCAUACUUACCCUUUGGCAGCGGCGGACUUAGGAAUUUUUCAGCGGAGGUGCAAUUCUUAAAAGCUAAAAGCUCAAAAAAAAAAAAGAAAAAAAAAAGAAGAUAAUACCUCAAAUAGCGUGUCACAUAGUCUAUUCCCCCUUGAGUUUGCUAUUGAGCUUACUAAUACAGAGAGUUAAAUAAGAAAAAAGUAUUUAUUAAAAAAAGAAAAAAUGCUCAAGAAAAAAUAUAUAUGCACCAAACUUACUUUGUAUUGGCGUACUCAAGAAGAAGAAAAAAACACAAGACUCUUGUGAUGCACACACACUUUGGGUGAUGUUAAAUUGGUUUUUCAUAAAGAGAAUUCUCAAUCCCUCUUAAAUAAGGAAUUCCCAAAACCCAAUUGAAUAAAGAGAAGUUCCAAUUAAAACCCAAUUAUCUAGGAAUUAUAUAAGCCUUUUAGAAGCCCACGAAUGGCCCAGUAGUUUCCCCCUUUUUUUUUAUAUCUUUUUUUUUUAAUUUUUAAAACCCUUAUUUAAAUUGGCUUAUCCAUGAUAGCCCACGAAUGGCCAGGUUUUUUUAAAAAAAACCCUUAUCCACGAAUGGCCAGUUUUUUAAAUAAAAAAAAUUAAAAAAUUAAAAAAAAAAGUAGCGCCUGGUCCAAAACGACGUCGUUUUGGCCAGGCAGUUAAAAAAAAAAAAAAAAAAAAAAGAGGUCGCGCGCAGCACAGCAGCCCUUCACUUGAGCAUUUCAUCGAACAGCUUCCGUGCAUGAGCAGAGGUGCAACUUCAGUAGCUUCUAUGGAGUUUUCCGGUGACCGGAGGCCUUGCGCCUGCACAAGUCCGCCACUGCCCUUUGGGUUUUGAAAUAAUAUAAUUUCAUAUUGUAGUUUUGAAAUAACAUUAUGCAUUAUUUCAACAAACAUAUUAUGACAACUUAAUAAUACUAAAAUGGAGGAGCCUUGCCAUUUUAACAUUGAUUAGUUUGGCCCAUGCUCUAGGGCAAAUCAGGCCGAAAAUUUUCUCUCUUGAGGACAGCUAGUUGCGUGCGAACAUCAAAUUCAACCGUUGGGUCGAUAUUGAUGGUUGAGAUUAAAACAUGGGUUUUAAAAUGUUACAUGUAGAAUAUGAUAAAAGAAAACACAAAUCCAAGUGGGAUGGUAACGGGUGGGUUAGGAGUCAGGUAUCCCCGUCCUUACUCUCCAUUCUCACCCCUGUCUCUGUUCCCAUCCCCGAUAUGAAAUUUCGGGGAAUCCCCGUUCCCAUCCCUGUCGGGGAAUGGUAUCCCAAACCCAGCCUAAAUCCUUUUCGUUUUGUUUUUCUUUUUUUAAAUUAUCCAUAUUGUAACACUUAAAUUUAACCUUAAACUAUUAUUCAACUCAGUUACAUUCAAUUGAACUAUACAAUUUCACUCAACUACUCAAAAUCAUCUCAAUUUAAUUUGACAAAACUAAUAAAAUCAUAUAAUAAAAAACAUAUGUCAAAAGUUUCACCAUCUUACAAAGUUUAGGGUAACUUUUUAAAUGUUAUAUUAUAUAUUUAGUAAUUAAAAACGUGAUCAAAGUUCUUUUAUACAUAAAUAUUUUCUGGAUGAGCUUUUAAUUUAGUUCACGUAAUUAAAUCUUCCCUUUGGAAAUGGAUAAACCAUUUAUGUGUAAACUAGCUGACAUGAAUGAAAGUUCAUGUCAAUUUCAUCACUUAAUUAUUUAAGGUAGUUUUUUAAUUGUCAUAUUAUAUAAUAUAGGCUUAUUUACUGUAGUACCCCUUGAAACUUCGGUCAAAUCUUACUUUACCCCCCUAACCAUUCAAAAGACCGUAAAAAAUGCUGACGUGGCAGGGUCAUUAUGGUAAAAACACCCAUGGUGGCCAAUUGCUUAGCAUAGUUAGCAUCCUACGUGACACAGUAGACCCCACAUGCUUUUAAAAUCCAAAUCAAAGUAGAUCACUUUGGAUAUUUGGCCAAAAAAAGAAGCUUCUCAGUCGAAAUAAUUUGGGAAAUAGGUUUUAGAGUGUAUGAUCGGAGAGAGAGAGAGAGAGAGAGAGAGAGAGAGAGAGAGUGUGUGUGUGUGUGUGUGUGUGUAACGACUCAGUCCUAAAUAAAUUAGUGAAUAUUAAUUUAUUGAGAGAAAAUACCAUUGUGCCCCUAAAAUAUUUUAUUAGGAUUAAAGUUGACUACACAUGGUGGGCUCGAAUCGGAGUUGUAAUGAGAGAGAUACGAUCAAAAUACCCUUAGUGGCAUAAUCGUAAUUUUGGCGAAAGGGUUGAUAAAAAUCUGAUUUCUCUCUCUCUCUCUCUCUCUCUCUCUCUCUCUCUCUCUCUCUCUCUCUCCCGCGAGCAGCCCUUCCUUUUUCGUUUUUUUUCCCAGCCGUGGCUUCCAAGACCCACCAUAGCCACCACCGGCCACCACUUGGGGCGGCACUAGUCCCAAAAGGACCGUCGUGAGUUCCUCUUCCAGUCCCACCUGGUCUUCGUCGCCAACCACCAGCACAGUCGCCGGAAUCUACAGAAAUCGCGCCGAUUUUUUCAAAAAUUCAAACCGCUCAUUCUCUCUCAAUUCCCCACCAAAUUUGAUGAGUGAGGUAUGGAUAUCUACCUAUUUUCCAUGCUCUAGCUGAUGGUUGGGUAGGAUUUCUUUAAUUUUGAGCCUAGGUCAGUCGAUUUUCAAUUUAGGGUUCGGCCGAUUUUGCAUUUCCGAUUCUGGCCACUUCCGGUCACUUUUUGAGGUAGGCCCGAACAAAAGUGACUCCAAAUAGGGUGUUAUACCUAGGGUAGAAGUCUUGGCCCGAGAUGUUGAGAUUUUUCGGUGAUGUGUAAUCGCUUUGGGCACCUACGCGCUGCCGGCUCCUGGGGCGGAGCGUGGGCACUGUAGAAAAAGGGCACUAUAUCCCGAUGUAAUCUCCUGGUCCUCACGAGCACGUAGGUGUGCUUGGAUUUCAAUUUGGAUGUUGUUUGACUAUCGAACAGAUUUCGCAUAUUGUGCGUUAUCCGGGUUCGAUAGGUUUGAACCGUUGGAUAGUCUUGAAUUUAAUAUAGGUUAAUCUAGGCAUUUGUAGAAUCGUGUAGGAGUUCACGGGUCAUGAAUCGGAGCCCCGGAUGUUCCGAUUUAAUAAAUUAAAGUUUAUGUUUUAUAAUAACUGUCCGAUUGUGCGAUCGUGAGCAAUCCGACAGUCCGAUCUGGACCAAACUUGCAGGACGUUUAUCCUAAACCUUGUAGAACCCAUAGGAACUUUCAGAUCAUAAUUUGGAGUUCGUAGGCCCCAUGGGCCCAUUUGACCGAGUAUGGGGUAGUUUGACCAUUGGUUGACCGUGAGUCUUCCAAGAUAGUUUUACCUUCCUAGAAGGAUUAUAAUGACCCUAAUGACUGGUCUUGAGCGUUGUUGAGCCAUGUUGACUAGGUUGAGAUUUUUAGAGUGUUUAUUAUUAUCGUAGGAAACUCUUGGCUAUUUUUUAAUAAUUGAAAUUAUGAAAUUUAUGUUUAUGUGCAUGAUCGUUGGUCUAAAAAUAAUAUUAUUUUCCUGAUUAAAUUACGUUGCAGUCUACUAUAGACUGGUAUCACUAAAGUGGGAAUACCUCUAGUAUUAGUUUAGAUAAUUGAGAGUAUAUCAGUUUGAAGUGCUAUACGCACUACCCUAAAUAUCACCCUGUGAUUGUUAGGUCCCACGUGGCGUUAUCCGGCAUGAGGACAGACCCCAUACGUGGCGUUGGAAUUUUCGGCGUAUGGGAGAGAUGCUAUGAUUGUUAGGGCACACGUGGCGUAGGUUAUCCGGUGUGCUGACAGACCCCAUAUGUGGCGUUAGAAUUUUUGGCAUAUGGGGAGAUUAUGUGAUUGUUAAGUCCCACGUGGCGUAGGUUAUCCGACGUGAGGACAGACCCUAUACAUGGAAUUAGAAUUUCCGGCGUAUGGGGAGAUACUAUGAUUGUUAGGUCACACGUGGCGUAGGUUAUCUGGCGUGCUGACAGACCCCAUAUGUGGCGUUAGAAUUUUCGGCAUAUGGGGAAAUUAUAUGAUUGUUAGGUCCCACGUGUCGUAUAUUAUCUGGCGUGAGGAUAGACUCCAUACGUGGCGUUGGAAUUUCUGGCGUAUGGGGAGAUGCUAUGAUUGUUAGGUCACAUGUGGCGUAGGUUAUCCGGCGUGCUGACAGACCCCAUAUGUGGCGUUGAAAUUUCCGGCAUAUAAGGAGAUUAUGUGAUUGUUAGGUCUCCAUGGUGUAGGAUUUUCCGGUGUUGAGACAGACCCCAUAUGUGGCGUUGGAAUUUCCGACGUAUGGGGAGAUUAUGUGAUUGUCAGGUCACCCGUGGCGUAGGAUUUUCCGGCGGGAUGACAGACCCCAUACGUGGCGUUGGAAUUUCCGACGUAUAGGGAGAUAAUAUGAUGGUUAGGUCACACGUGGCGUAGGAUUUUUCGGCGUGAUGACAGACCUAUACGGCGUUGGAAUUUCUGGCGUAUGGGGAGAUUAUGUGGUUAUUAGAUAGAUGAAUUAAGGAAUAGUACUGAGCUGGGAACGAAUGAUGUUGAAAAAGAUUUUGUUUGGGAUUUCUAGAAUUGAUUGUAUGUUGAUGGAUUUAGAAAUUUUGUAUGGAAGAACUACGUGUGACUUGAUCCCUCAGUGAGGGUACGUAGGCAUCCUAAGGUUAUUAGGUGCAGCCGCGGACAUAGAUGUGAUUGUGUUAGGAGGUUAAAACCUCGUAAGUUGGAAUUGGAAAAGUUAGAUGAUGUAUGUUGUAUUUAUUAUUCAUAAUUUCAUAUUUGAGUUUAUUAGUUUUCUUGCCGAAGGAAAUAUUUUGGGCUCAAGGGCUUUGUGGGUAGUUUGGUUUCGCUUCGAUUUUUUUUUUAGGGCCGAAGGCCGAGUGUGUGAAUUGCAUGAAAUUAUAUUGUGCUUGCUGCCUGUUGGGAUAUUAAAUGUGUUUUAUGCAUGUUGAAAAUUUUGGAAAAUGAUCAAUUUACAGGAGAGAUUGCCGAAAUUUAGGCAGAAAGUCCCGGUCUUUAAUAAGUGGGCCCGGCAUCGGGGUGAUGUCGGGAAUUUCACAGGAUUCAUCUCGGGUUUUGGGAAAUUCGGGGCAGGUCCUGUCACAGAGAGAGAGAGAGAGAGAGAGAGGGAGAGAGAGAGAUUCAAAAAUCUGAGAAGGAUCGAAUAUUGCAAAAGAAUUAGGGCAAAAGAAUUGAAAUCUUGGGAGAAGCGCGAAUAUUGGAGAGAUUGAAAAGGACAAUGGCGGUGCCGAGAGAGAAAUGAGGUUCUCAACCUGAGUUUUGUAAGUGGCCCUUCUCUUUUGAAAUGGAAUCAAUGAAAGCGAGAGAUUUACAAAAUGUUGUCCAAGUUUAAGCUUCUUUAUUGUCUGCUUGCUUUGUUGGGUCAGGUUCAAAGGUGUUGAGUUUGAAAAGCCUAGAAUAAAAAUUGUUGUGGUCCCCUAUGUUUUGUUGCUAUGUAUGUUUUCCUAUUUACUAGUUGUUUAAAGGUUCUUUUAGUGCUUUAAAAUUGUUAGUUGCGUGUGAAUCUUGCUCCAUGAUUGUUUAUUGGUAGUUUGGUGAUUGUGUUGUCCUUUUUAAACUGUACAUAUGACUAGGCAGUGUUUAAAGUGUGUGUUUUUUUUUAAUGUUCUGUUGUGCAGAUGACAAAGGAAUAGUCACGUUUGAAGUACACCAUGGAGGUAGAAUAGUAAAGUCCUUAAAUCUCAAUGAGUUGUGGUUUUAUGUGGGGGAGAGGGGGGUCGGUUGAUUAUUUGGAUUGGUGUCUUCUGAACCACAUAAAAUUGUUAGAGAUAUAUGAGUAUGCAAAAGAGCUUGGCUACCAUGACCAAGUGGUUGUGACAAGGAUACAAAAUGGUAAAAAAGUGUGUAUAGAUAGUGAUGCUUAGCUACUUGGUGCCUCCUAUAGCUUUGAAAGAGUGAUUGUAAUUUACUUGGAACACCCCAUUAAUGUGGAUGAAACUACAGUGCCUUGGAGGGAGAGGGGUCCUAUUGUAAGAAAUCUAGUUGCUGAAUUUGAACAUGAAGAUGAUAGUAAUGAACAAUCUAGUUAUGAGGAUAUGUAUAAGGAGGAUGAGGAUGAUGAAGAGGCUCUUGAAGAGGCUAUAAAUGUGGAGGAUGAGGGUGAUGACGCUGUAAAUGAGGAGGUUGAGGGUGAUGAAGAUGCUAUCUAUGAAGAGGCUGAGAAUGACAAAAGGACUGAAAAUGAGUAUGAAGACAGUGAAGAACAUGAGAAGACCCUAAAUUUUAUGACAAUGUGUGAGCAAAGUGAAGAUGAACAAUGCUUGCUAGAAAAAGAUGAUAAAGCUUUUGACAAUUAUGUUGACCACAAUACUCCAGAUAUUGUUCCAACUGCAUAUGAAAGAGAAAAGUCGAAUGAUAUGGCUGUAAGUUAUGUUAAUAGCUUGGAUAGUAGCUUAUGUGAUGAGUUUGAUAUGCUUAUGAGAAAGAGAAAGAGGAAACUACCCAAGUUUGAUGAUUUUAGGCCUAACACAGGUUUGACUAACCUAAUCUUUAAGAUUGGUCUAAGAUUUUCCAGUGUCUAUGUAUUUAGGAAAGCAGUGAAACUAUUCAGUAUUUAACAUAAGGAAGAUUAGAUUCUCUAAGAAUGAUAAAGAUAAGGUUAGAGUUGUUAGAGAUGGGAUCAAGAAAAGAAAAUGUCCAUGGUUUGUUUAUGCUUCAGUUGUAAAUGGAAGUAGCAUGGUUCAAAUUAAGAGUUAUGAAGAGGAGCACACUUGUGAGACUAUUGAACACAAUGUCCAUGAUAACUCAUCAUGGUUAGCAGAGAGAUAUUUUACAUAGCUGUCUAGAAUAAUAAAUUGGGAUGUAUGAGCUCUUAAGGAAAGGAUAAAUGAAGAUCUAUUUGUCAUAGCUUCAAGGUCACAAAUAUACAGAGCAAGGCAAAAGGCAACUGCUGCAAGUGAGGGGACUUACACAAAAUAGUUUGAGUCUCUUUGGGAUUAUGUUGAUGAGCUAAAAGGGACAAAUGUGGGAAUUACUAUAAUCAUUAAGUCCAAUUUGGAGGAUGGCAAAUCUGGAUUUCAAAGGAUUUACAUAUGCUUGGCAGCUACAAAGAAAAGGUUUAUUGAUGCUCUAAGGCCAGUUGUUGGUUUGCAUACUUGUCACAUGAAAGGACAACAUGUUGGCCAAUUACUUUAUGUGGUUGGUGUUGAUUCUAACAACGGCAUGUAUCCAAUAACUUAUGCAAUGGCAGAGGCUGAGAAUUAUGAAACUUGGACUUAAUUUUUGGAACUCUUAGUUGUUGAUUUCGGCAUUGAAAAUAGCAAAGGGUAUGUGUUUAUUACAGAUAGACAAAAUGGCUUAAUUGAUGCAGUGGGUGACAUGUUCCCAAACUUUGAGUAUAGGCACUGUCUUAAAUAUCUGUAUGCCAAUUUUAUACUUGCUGCCACAGAGGAUUAGUUCUAAAAAAACAUAUUGAGAUUGUUGCAAAAAGUACAACCAUACCUUGGUUUCAAGCAGAGAUGAAAAAUCUCCAAGAUUUGUGAGGACCAUCUUUUGAUUGGUUGGUGAGGCUUGAUCCAAUGCAGUGGUGUAGAUCUCACUUCAAAACACACUCAAAAUGUGACAUUCUCUUGAAUAACAUGUGUAAGGCAUUCAACAAGUCUAUCCUUAAUGCUAGAAGCAAGCUUAUUAUAACAAUGCUUGAGAGGGUCAGGUAUUACAUCAUGUUGUUGAUGGCAAGUAGAAGAGAAGCUAUGGACAAAUGGGCUCAUGAUGUGAGGCCAAGAGUUUUUGCAACUCUUGAGAAGCUUAAGAAGCAGUCAGCCUGAUGCAUUCCAAGGCUUGCUCGGGAGGGAAAAUAUGAGAUUAAGUGGAGAAAAUAUGAGGUUAAGUGUUUUGGAGGCACUUAGGUGGUAGUUGAUUUGAGAAACAAAAGUUGUUCAUGUAGGCAAUGAGAUUUAACUGGGAUCCUAGGUAAGCAUGCUUGUGUUACCAUUUGGUAGUUAAAUGACAAUCAUAUCAUCCGUGUACAUGAUUAUUACCAACAAAAAAAAAAAGCCUUUAUAACAACUUACAAACCCAUGGUUUAUCCAAUGGCAAGUCAAGACUUGUGGGCUAAAAUGUAACAACCCGAUCCUAAAUCAAUUUUUAGUUAUUAAUUUAUUCUGAGAAAAGACCAUUUUGCCCGUAGAAUAUUUUAGUAGUAUAAAAGUUGACUUUUUCACCGAGAAUGAAUGUAGAAAUUUUGAUCAUACUGUUGUGUAGAUCACGUUGAAACGAGUCUGUAGACACGUAGUGGGCUCAAAUCGAAGUUAUAACAAGGAAAAUACGAUUAAAAUACUUAUAGGGGCAAAAUCAUAAUUUUUAGAAACUGGUUUUAAAGACCAUAUUGUUAUUUUCCUUCUCUCUCUCUCUCUCCUCCUCCCCCCCCGACAACCCUCUCCUCUAUAACCACCACCAUAUGAACGAACCUGCCCGGUCUCGCUGUCACACCCCAGCCUGCACCCACUGUCAGCCGCCGCCAAACAACCAGAACCACCGCGAAAACGAGCUGGUUUUCACUCUAAUUUUUCCAGCUUCAUUCUCCGUCCUCCGGUCACCAUUUUCGACAAUCAAGGUACUCGGGCACCAUCAAACCCGCGGGAAGGACCUUCAAAGGGUCAAGCUAGCUCGGACGCCCAGUGAGUGGACUUUUGUUUUAUAAAUGAUUUUAUGCAAUUAAGUUUCAUUAUUUGGUCUUGAAUAAGUAUUAUUGACUAUGGCUUUCCAAGCAUGAUUAAUUGGAUUUAAAUAUUUUUAUUUAUUUAUUUAUUUAUAUAUUGCCAUAUUUGAAAUAAAAAGGGCUUGGAAAGUAAGAGUUGAGAUGAUUAUCGGUUUGAAUGGUUCGAUGAGGAAUAAAACUAUAGUUUUUAAGAAAGGCAUGUAUUUUAUUUUAAAAACCACCAUAGGUACCCAAGGUUGCCUUCAGAUUAAAUGUUGCCUUCAGAAUGAAUGUUGCCUACGGAAUAAAUUGUUGCCUUCGGAUAUGACGACAUCCACGGACAUCCUAGUUGUCUUCGGUUGAGUCAGCGCGCGUUUGACAAUGCCACACGAGUUUCGGGGACGCCCGGACUAUUUGGAGCGAGGAAUACGAAUCAGGUUGACUAAAUGUCCCUUAAAUCCUGUGAGGAUUGCGGCUCGAGUUACUUAGUGUUCCCGAGGCCUGCCAAGACGUGUCGCUUAGGUGGCAUGAGGAAUUGACGGAAAAUAAAGGAAUUGACGAAUAUAAUAAGGGUACACCUAGGUGGUAGGGAAAUCUUUAUUUUCAAAGUUUGAACUAAUGUGAGAAUUUUGUAAAUGUGUGAAUUACUAUAUGAAUAAAAAUAUUCGUGCCUGUUUUCAGUACGUGUAUGUAAUUUAGUUUUCUAACUGUUUUUACGGAGGGGUUAGUAUGUUCAUAUGUUAUUUUCCAAACCUUUAUUUUUGUCCACUCACAUUUUUCAAUGUUUUGCGCCCCCAGGCAGUAGUAGUGCACCAGAGCGCCACCACAGGGCAAACACCACACUCCACUCCACCUUUUCUUUAUGUAGGAUUUCUUCUGUAAUCAAAUUGAUCUGUUGUAAAUUUCUGAACCAGUUGCUCUGAUAUUGCCCUAGGAUUACUGUAUGGCAUGAGGCCAUUUAUUUGUGGCUGAAUUGUUUGGAUAUAAACAGAUGCAUGCUGAACAGUUGGGUUAUAUAUAUGCUUGUUGAUAGGUGGAAAAUUUUGGGAAUUAGCAAAUUAGAGGGGAGACUCUGCCGAAUUUUUGGCAGAAGUCAAACUUGUAGAAACUUUGGUUUCUGGUUAGAAGGGCAAUUUAGUCAUUUGUGCCCGGCACCCUCCAGGUCUCAGACACGCACAGGGUUCGGCUCGGAUUCCAAAGUGGAAUUUAGGUUGGGUCUUGUCAUAAAAUAAAUUUCCCAUCUUUGCUACCACCUAUGUAUCACAAGCAAUUAGAGAAGCCAUAGAAAAGCCGGGUAAGGUCAGCCGCUGAACCACCUCCAAGCUCUAAUCCUAAAGACAAACACUUGCGAAGGUAUAAUUUGGAAACCAAGUGUUGCGUAUAUAAUCAAGCGGGCCAUAAUAAGAGGAAAUGUGCAAGGACAAAUGAUGCAGGGAGUAGCAGUCAGGUAUAAUCAAAGCAUCUGAUUUUAAAAGUUUUGUAUGUUUAGCAUUAUGAUAUGGAUUCAUAUGUGAUGUUUGUAGGUCAGGUACCAUCACAAAGGCAAAAGAAGAGAGCACCUCAAGGCAACACAUCAACUCAUAGAGUUAUAAGACAAUCAAGGCAGAAACAAGCAUCAUCUUCUACACAAUCAAGGCAAAAAUAAUUAGUAAGUUGAGUUUAUUUUAUUUAAGUAGCAUUAUGGAACUCUUCAGUUUUUUAUUUUAGUAAAUGCUCAUGUUAAUCUAACUCUGCCACAAUUUUCAGAUCAUAUCAAAGGCUAAAAAAAGGAUCAAUCAUCACAAAGCAUCUUCUCAGUCUAACCAAGGUCCUCAACCAUCUCACUAACCAGCUCAACCAUCUCAAGCUUCUCGGUUUGAAGAAGCAUCUCAGUUUAAAUAAGCAUCUCAAGCUUCUCAGUUUGACGACCAUCUUAGUUUGAACAACCAUCUUAGUCUUAAGAACCAAAUUGGUCUCAGCCUCAAGCAUCUCAACCUCCACAAGCUUCUAAAUAAAGGAAAGUUAGGUUUAAGGAGGUUUAAGUCUCAAGCUAAGAGGAAAGCAUUCUUGGCCAAGUUUGAGCCAUGAAGAUAUUGAAAAAACUCUGCUCAAUUUUGGUUAGCACAUGUGUUUUGGGUCAGAAAAAGCAUAUGAAUGUGUUUUUAUGGGUUGAAUGUUGGUUUUAUGUUUUGUUGUGUCUUGGUGAACAUAUGUGUUAUUGGGUAGAAACUAUUUGUUUGGUAUUUUGUUGUCUAUUUUAUUUUUGGAUACAAACUGUUUGGCAUUGCCAUGGGUAUCACAGGUGCAUAUUCAGUCUUUUGUAUUUUGUUUUGGCAUUGCCAUGGAUUGAAAAUGUACAAUUUAUGUACAAGACUAUGUACAAGUUAUGUACAAGUUAUUAAUCAAUGGUAGUUCAUAAGUUCCGAAAGGUUUCAAGAAUUCUUGGUGCAUACAAAAGUGUUUAGUCUUAACCAUUACAAAAGGGCUUUGAAACCAUUACAUUUGCAAAAUGCUUCAACAAUUACAUAAGCCUCUCAUCUCACUAAAUUGUCAUUCUACUAGUACAUUACAUUACACUACAUUACCUAACUUUCAAACAUACCACAUUGCCUAACUUUCAAACAUAUCACAUUGCCUAACUUACAUUACAUAACAUUCCCAAACCAAACCAUAAACACAAAGGCCCAAGAAAUAAAUAGAGCAAUCCAUAACUUCUUCUCUCUUACUCUCGCACGCCCAAUCUGAUCUUCAACCUCUCUCAUUGUCCUCAGCAACCAAGCCAUCAGAGCUCUCUCACGGGGAGGCAUUUCAAUAUCAAGCCAUACAAAAAACCUACAAAAGUUUUCCCCCUUUGCAUUCAAACAAAAGUUCCAUCACAUUCUCACAAUUUAUUGUCAAAAUUUUGAUAAAAUAGCAAAUUCAAAACCUACCUCUAACUUUGGACACACAAAACAAAAAAUCUCCGAAGUGGGUUAGACUAUAUCCAAGAAAUCUGCAGCCGAGCAAGCCUCCCACAAUAGCAAUAAGGUGCAGCAACGACCAACUCUUCUCCUCAUCUUCACACCUUUUAAUCAAACAAAGAUGGAGAAAUUUUUCUUUGCGUAUAAAACCUUAAAUCCUCGAAAUGGUGGUAAGUAAUUUUUCUGUGUUUAGAAACCAUUUUAUCAAAGAAGAAGAAAGUGGAUUGUUCACUGGGGUCCAUUUGACCCCUUGAGCUGCUUCCAUUUAGAUUUUAAAAGCCUAUGGGGUCCAUUGUGCCACCUAGGAUGCUGACUAUGCUCAACAAUUGGCCAUCGUAGGUACUUUUACCAUAAUGACUCUGCCACGUCAUCAUUUUUUAUGGUGUUUUGAAUGGCGUUAAUGAUGUGGGGUAAAGUGGAACACAAAACCACAGUCAAGGGGAUUAAGUGUGCCAUUGUAACUUUGGGGGAGUAAAGUGAUAUUUGACCGAAAUUUCAAGGGGUACUAUAGUAAAUAAGCCUAUAAUAUAUUUUGUAACUAAAAAUAAAUACAUCCCUUAUUGGGCCAGGUUCAUAGAUGAGGAUAACAAUAUUAUCAAUGACUCGUCUCUGAUCAGAUAUUUUAAAAAAUCAAGAAUCCUCGUACCUACCCCGUUAGGGCCGGGGACCCGACCCGAAGGGGAUUUUUGCAAUCCCACCUAACUGAGACCUAUUGACUAGCACAAUCAUCUUCUCUUUCCUAUUUCUCCGCGUUCGAAAAUUCUAUAAUCUACAACCAUAGCAACUAGGGUUAUUAAAUAUAUAUAUAUAUAUAUAUAUAUUCAACUUACUGAUUUCCAUAAAAAUUAAAUGACAGAUCUGUCUCUUUGAAAUAUUACUAAAGGGACUGUUUAAAAGCUACUCAGUCACGUUGGUAAACAUCAUUUGUAGCUAAGCAGCAUCAAAUUGAAUUGAGGUGUGCCUGCCAAUUAUCUGAAUAACAUCUGUGUUUUAAGACCAAAAGAAAACACAAUCAGAACCAAAAAAUAAAAUAAAAAACCCACCAGCUAAAUUGUCUAAAUUGUCACCAUCAAUGUUAAUAAGGAGAUGAAUUUCAUUCUCUUUGUCUAAAUUAUAUAGCAUAAGCAUUGAACAUUUCCAUUGGUUAAAUACCACCUAAUUUUAUAAAAAAAUAUAAUUGUCUCCUAACUACUCUUUCUUUUUGGUACAACUCCUAAUACCUGGUCUUUCAUCAUCAUAGACAUAUAAAUAUAUUCUUCCUUACCUAACCUUGUCUUAUAAUUAAACAACCCUAAUAACCCUUUACAAAAGGUAACUUAUUUUAUUGAAACACCAAACAGUGGAGCUGAGUCAAAGCUCUUCCAAAUGCUAUCACAAUUGAUUUUUUAUUUUAUUUUUCUGGUGCUAACAUAUAUAUAGGAAAUUUUCUUGUUUCAAUGGUUUAUAGAAAAUUAAUAUCAAAUUUUGGUCAACAUAUAUAUAUAUAUACACCCCCUAGUUAAACUUAAAGGUGAGAUUUUGUCAAAUACCAAGUCUUCACUUGCUUCUAAAUACUACAAUAUUCAAAUCUUUACCUGCUCAAAGGAAAAUCAUAUCCAAGAGUACAAGACCAGUUCAUUCUCUGCAAUCUAUAAAUAGACUUGUAACCCAUGAAGGAUUUUCAUCCCACCCUCAAACCAAAACUCUCUACACACAAAGAAAAAACAGUAAAAGAAAGUUUUGAGGCAACCUAGCUCUAAUUAAGCCAACUGCAAUGAAAGGUGUUCAUUUCCUCAUAAGCACUCUUGCCAUAUUGGCAUCUGCAACCUUCCUUGUCUCUGCAUCUGACCCCAGUCCUCUUCAGGACUUCUGUGUAGCACUCAAUGACACCAAAUCUGCUGGUAUGCAUUAAUUACAUUCAUUAUAUUCUGCCCUGCAAUUAUUUCCACAUGAAUUAUUUUCUUCCUAAGGCAUUAGGAAUAUUAUGAAGAUUGUUUUUCUGUUAACUAUAUGCAUUUGCACGGCUUCUCAUGCAUGAACAAUCUAU
rnacentral:lncRNA from 1 species